rnacentral:rRNA from 1 species
GACGAACGCUGGCGGCGUGCCUAAUACAUGCAAGUAGAACGCACAGUUUAUACCGUAGCUUGCUACACCAUAGACUGUGAGUUGCGAACGGGUGAGUAACGCGUAGGUAACCUGCCUGGUAGCGGGGGAUAACUAUUGGAAACGAUAGCUAAUACCGCAUAAUAUUAAUUAUUGCAUGAUAAUUAAUUGAAAGGUGCAAUUGCACCACUACCAGAUGGACCUGCGUUGUAUUAGCUAGUAGGUGAGGUAACGGCUCACCUAGGCGACGAUACAUAGCCGACCUGAGAGGGUGUUCGGCCACACUGGGACUGAGACACGGCCCAGACUCCUACGGGAGGCAGCAGUAGGGAAUCUUCGGCAAUAGACGAAAGUCUGACCGAGCAACGCCGCGUGAGUGAAGAAGGUUUUCGGAUCGUAAAGCUCUGUUGUAAGAGAAGAACGGGUGUGAGAGUGGAAAGUUCACACUGUGACGGUAUCUUACCAGAAAGGGACGGCUAACUACGUG